rnacentral:tRNA from 2 species
GGUCAGAUGGCCGAGCGGUCUAAGGCGCUAGCUUCAGGAGGAUCCUGGAUCCAAGUGACUGCUAGUCAUGAAAAUGGCGUGGGUUCGAAUCCCACUCUGAUCA